UUUAAAGUUUUCGCUCACUCAUUUCACUAACCAAAGGCUGCAGAUAAUGCAGAAGCAGGUUUUAGCAGUCAUCUUUAUCACCUUUGUGACAGAUGUAGAGCUCCCAGUACGCAUUUUCCCGUCAUAUUUUGUGAGUUCCUACAGGAUCAAGGAGUUUGUAAAUACCCACGAACCUAUUUGGACUUACAUUAGCAAUAAGACAAUAAAUACCCUUUGCAAGAGCGACCGAAUGCGCACUAUACACCAAUUUUUCAUUUUUUUCAACAGAUCCCUGUUAAUCAAUGGGGAAAGGACUACCCAUCACCUAGAGGGACAUUUUGAUGCACAGCAUUCCGACCGGAUGACUAUUCAUCCCACAGGUAUUAUAAAAUUAUAUAGUCCUUACGAAUUUCGUAAAACGUAUCCGCGGUGACACUAGGGGCGUGUUA
rnacentral:lncRNA from 1 species